CCUACGGGAGGCUGCAGUGGGGAAUAUUGGACAAUGGGGGCAACCCUGAUCCAGCCAUGCCGCGUGUGUGAAGAAGGCCCUCGGGUUGUAAAGCACUUUCAGUGAGGAAGAACGCCUGGUGGUUAAUACCCAUCAGGAAAGACAUCACUCACAGAAGAAGCACCGGCUAACUCCGUGCCAGCAGCCGCGGUAAUACGGAGGGUGCGAGCGUUAAUCGGAAUUACUGGGCGUAAAGCGCGCGUAGGUGGCUUGAUAAGCCGGUUGUGAAAGCCCCGGGCUCAACCUGGGAACGGCAUCCGGAACUGUCAAGCUAGAGUGCAUGAGAGGAAGGUAGAAUUCCCGGUGUAGCGGUGAAAUGCGUAGAGAUCGGGAGGAAUACCAGUGGCGAAGGCGGCCUUCUGGACUGACACUGACACUGAGGUGCGAAAGCGUGGGUAGCAAACAGGAUUAGAUACCCUAGUAGUC
rnacentral:rRNA from 1 species